rnacentral:hammerhead_ribozyme from 1 species
GCAUUACUGAGGAGUCCCACAAGAGAACGAAACGGCCGUCCAAUGC